UGAAAGCAGAUUUUGAGUCUUGCUAUAAAGAUACACGACUGGCGUUCAAACAGCCAGAGGAAAGAGUUGGGAUGUAUAAAGAACAUGCCUACCUGCAAUGGAUUUCUGUGAAAAUCUCCAAAAUGCUCCAGUGGAUUACAAAUUGUAGCUAAACGCUGAAGCUAUGGAGACUCUGUGAAAGGUAACAAAAGAAUAUCCAGCUAAUCGUGAGUUAUGCAUCUCCUGUUGUAUCAACUGUAUUGAACUAAACUGCCAUUCCCAGCGUACCAAAAAGCCAAGGAGGUGAUCGAUUUGUUUCUGAAGCCAGUACCGGUAAGAGUCUCCUUUUGUGAAAUGAGCUUCAGUAACCAGACUGAGGAAUCAGCCUCCCCGAGGUUAUUCUUCUGCCAUCCGCAUUGGCCUGCCAUCCCCUUCCCUUGGGUCUUUGUAGCCAGCCAGUUCCUUGAUUUCAGUGUUUCUGAACAAGAAUUCAUGCUUAGAUGGAUGGCACACUGUGCGUAUGAAGAGAUGGGCACCUUAUUGCUGAUGUGACCAGUUAGCAGACGAAAUCACCCUGUGACAAAAAUAUGUAUGUGGCCUAUUAACCAGUUGAUGUGGAAAAUCAACUUAUUUGAAUGGCUUGUUAAAUUUUUCCUGUUACUUAAAAGCACUCUAGCAUUGCAAUGAAACUUGUCUUUGGUUUGGAUGUGAGAACUGAGGAUCAGACAAGAGUCACUGAAUGAAGAAUGUAAGCUAUACAAAAUAAGAGUAAAACCUGUAAAAGGUCAUUUACAAAGUCAAGUCAAGCCAAGCACAAAAAGUGAUGCAAACUCUCCAUGGUUUUUGCAUGAUUACACCUGCCAUACUCUUGGCAGCAAGGAAAAAAACACCUGCACUCCCCAAAUGACUCUUGCACUGCUGGAAUAUAACUCAAAUGCCUUAUGCAGUGGCCAAACUACCGGUGGAGCAGGGGGUGCGGUUGGACCAGGGCCCGGACCCCCUGGCAGCCUGCUCAUCGCUGAAGCCGGACGGAGGGGGGCCCUGCUGCACGUCCCAGACCCAGGCCCGCCCCCCGCUAAUUACGUUACUGGCCCUAUGACAAGCAGGCACCCAUAAAAUCAGCUUUCGGAGAUUCUCAACAGCGGCCCAGAGCAUACUGAGCAUGUGCAGUGUCCCUGGCACUUAAAACAAGGCCAGAUAAUGCACUUCAGUUUGGCAUUUGAACUGCAAUCCAGUGGCUAAAAGCCAGGGCCCGAAAAGACUCAAUAUGUUUUUUGGAAGCCAGUCGACAACUAUUUAACAUGCAGGUUGAAGAAAAGCAGAAAAAGUGCAUAUAAUUGCCAAACUACAAAAUAAUUAAAAAGAACUACAAAAGAGAAGAAGGAGAAGUGGGAUGGUCACAUAUUGGAUUACAUCCAACUGCAACUGGCAAUUAAUAUCACUGAAAGCUGUUGAUGGAUAUUCUGGUGUAUGUCCUAAGAAGCAGAUCAUCUAUCAAGUUCAAGUCCAUUUCAAGCCAGUGCACCAUGCCCAAGAAGUUUUCCAGUAGCCACUCUGGCAGGUACCCAUACAAUGGAGCUCUGAGCUCCAAUACCUUUCCUUAAGAAUACUGCAAGACCAUUAAUCUGUGUUUGGGACAAAAACAAUGACCUGUUCUGAUCAGAGCUUCUCACAAACGCACACACAUAUUGUAACAUAUACCAAGUCUUUAUCUGUCACCCUCCAUCACUGUCUGUAUGCCCUAGUAAAAAAAACGAGUCAUUUUAUUUUUUAUAUCAUAUCUAAUGAUUCUUUUUCAAACGGCAUUGAUUUAUUUAUUUGACAAUUGGAACUUAAAACAGAUUUUACAAAUAACCAGAAGGAAUUUCAAUGUUCCCCUGUUCUGAUGGUUAUUUAAGUUAGAAGAUAAAGAAGAUAGAUAAGGGGUAAUUUUCUAAUAAGGAAGGCAGUGUGCAAAGUACUAUUGUAUUUACCCGUUUUUUGCACUUUGCACACUGCCUUCCUUGGAAGGAGACCUGCAGCGGCAACGGUGAUAACAGACCUGCCUGGAUUUGGCAGUGCUGUAUUCAAGAGGGCACACAGGGUCGGACUGGCCCGGUGGGACACCGGGAAAAAACCCGGUGGGCCCCAACCCUCAUGGGCCCCCACUGUGCCAGACCCCCCUCUAUAUAUAUGCUAUAAUAUAUCUGAAGCAUGGUGAGAUGCACUAACCUUUUACAGCAAAAUAGUAUUAUUAUUAUUAUUAAAGGGAUACUGUCAUGGGAAAAAUUUUUUUUUUCAAAACACAUCAGUUAAUAG